rnacentral:rRNA from 1 species
CCUACGGGGGGCUGCAGUGGGGAAUAUUGGACAAUGGGCGAAAGCCUGAUCCAGCCAUGCCGCGUGUGUGAAGAAGGCCUUCGGGUUGUAAAGCACUUUCAGUGGGGAAGAAAGCCUUGGGGCUAAUACCCUCGAGGAAGGACAUCACCCACAGAAGAAGCACCGGCUAACUCCGUGCCAGCAGCCGCGGUAAUACGGAGGGUGCGAGCGUUAAUCGGAAUUACUGGGCGUAAAGCGCGCGUAGGCGGUCUGAUAAGCCGGUUGUGAAAGCCCCGGGCUCAACCUGGGAACGGCAUCCGGAACUGUCAGGCUAGAGUGUAGGAGAGGAAGGUAGAAUUCCCGGUGUAGCGGUGAAAUGCGUAGAGAUCGGGAGGAAUACCAGUGGCGAAGGCGGCCUUCUGGACUGACACUGACGCUGAGGUGCGAAAGCGUGGGGAGCAAACAGGAUUAGAUACCCCGGUAGUC